rnacentral:rRNA from 1 species
AUUGAACGCUGGCGGCAGGCUUAACACAUGCAAGUCGAGCGGAGAUGAGGUGCUUGCACCUUAUCUUAGCGGCGGACGGGUGAGUAAUGCUUAGGAAUCUGCCUAUUAGUGGGGGACAACAUUCCGAAAGGAAUGCUAAUACCGCAUACGUCCUACGGGAGAAAGCAGGGGAUCUUCGGACCUUGCGCUAAUAGAUGAGCCUAAGUCAGAUUAGCUAGUUGGUGGGGUAAAGGCCUACCAAGGCGACGAUCUGUAGCGGGUCUGAGAGGAUGAUCCGCCACACUGGGACUGAGACACGGCCCAGACUCCUACGGGAGGCAGCAGUGGGGAAUAUUGGACAAUGGGGGCAACCCUGAUCCAUCCAUGCCGCGUGUGUGAAGGAGGCCUUAUGGUUGUAAAGCCCUUUAAGCGAGGAGGAGGCUACUGAGACUAAUACUCUUGGAUAGUGGACGUUACUCGCAGAAUAAGCACCGGCUAACUCUGUGCCAGCAGCCGCGGUAACAC